CAGCCGCCGCGGUAAUACGAAGGGGGCUAGCGUUGCUCGGGAUGACUGGGCGUAAAGGGAGCGUAGGCGGUUUGCACAGUCAGAUGUGAAAUUCCUGGGCUUAACCUGGGAACUGCAUUUGUUACUGUAGAGCUGGAGUGUGGCAGAGGGGGAUGGAAUUCCGCGUGUAGCAGUGAAAUGCGUAGAGAUGCGGAGGAACACCGAUGGCGAAGGCAAUCCCCUGGGCCUGCACUGACGCUCAUGCACGAAAGCGUGGGGAGCAAACAGGAUUAGAUACCCCCGUAGUCCCUGUCUCUUAUAC
rnacentral:rRNA from 1 species